AGUUCGAACGAACUCUGUUAUUGAUUGGUGCUUGCAUCAUGAUUUACAUUUGAGUGAGUGGCGAACUGUUGAGUAUCACGUGUGAAACCUGCCCAGAUGCGUAGGAUAACACACUGGAAACAGAUGCUAAUACCGCAUAACAACUUGGACCGCAUGGUCCGAGUUUGAAAGAUGGCUUCGGCUAUCACUUUUGGAUGGUCCCGCGGCGUAUUAGCUAGAUGGUGAGGUAACGGCUCACCAUGGCAAUGAUACGUAGCCGACCUGAGAGGGUAAUCGGCCACAUUGGGACUGAGACACGGCCCAAACUCCUACGGGAGGCAGCAGUAGGGAAUCUUCCACAAUGGACGAAAGUCUGAUGGAGCAACGCCGCGUGAGUGAAGAAGGGUUUCGGCUCGUACAACU
rnacentral:rRNA from 2 species